GAUGAACGCUGGCGGCGUGCCUAAUACAUGCAAGUCGAGCGAACAGACGAGGAGCUUGCUCCUCUGACGUUAGCGGCGGACGGGUGAGUAACACGUGGAUAACCUCCCUAUAAGACUGGGAUAACUUCGGGAAACCGGAGCUAAUACCGGAUAAUAUGUUGAAUCGCAUGGUUCAACAGUGAAAGACGGUCUUGCUGUCACUUAUAGAUGGAUCCGCGCCGCAUUAGCUAGUUGGUAAGGUAACGGCUUACCAAGGCAACGAUGCGUAGCCGACCUGAGAGGGUGAUCGGCCACACUGGAACUGAGACACGGUCCAGACUCCUACGGGAGGCAGCAGUAGGGAAUCUUCCGCAAUGGGCGAAAGCCUGACGGAGCAACGCCGCGUGAGUGAAGAAGGUCUUCGGAUCGUAAAACUCUGUUAUUAGGGAAGAACAAAUGUGUAAGUAACUACGCACGUCUUGACGGUACCUAAUCAGAAAGCAACGGCUAACUACGUG
rnacentral:rRNA from 1 species